GGAUGUGAGGGUGCCCUGGCUAUGACGUCUGUCACCUCAUUGAUCUUCAUGGUUUAAUUGGCUAAAGUGGCUGGCUAGGCAUGUGUCCUCUUCCUCCCUCACUGCUCCAUGUUCAUUCCUCUGGAAGCUAUGCACUCAGUUAAAGAAGAUGAGCUUCCCCGAUAGAGAAGGACCAUCUUUGGUUAAGGGUAUAUAAGCAGCUGUGCUCCCCGGCUAGAACCUCCAAACAAACUCUUAAGGACCCAGUGUUUCCAACACAUGGAAUCUGGGGAUAGUCAAACCACAGCAUCCACCAACUGUU
ensembl:misc_RNA 7SK 7SK RNA